GCGUUGCUCGGAAUCACUGGGCGUAAAGGGCGCGUAGGCGGACUUUUAAGUCGGGGGUGAAAGCCCAGGGCUCAACCCUGGAAUUGCCUUCGAUACUGAGAGUCUUGAGUUCGGAAGAGGUUGGUGGAACUGCGAGUGUAGAGGUGAAAUUCGUAGAUAUUCGCAAGAACACCAGUGGCGAAGGCGGCCAACUGGUCCGAUACUGACGCUGAGGCGCGAAAGCGUG
rnacentral:rRNA from 1 species